rnacentral:rRNA from 1 species
UACGGGGGAGCAAGCGUUGGUUCGGAUUUACUGGGCGUAAAGGGCGCGGUAGGCGGCGUGACAAGGUUCUACUUGUGAAAUCAUCCGGGCUUAACGUCGGAACGGUCAAGUGUAUACUGAUCGUGCUAGAGUAGCAGAAGGGGCAAGCUAGGAAUUCUACGGUGUAGCGGUAGAAAUGCGUAGAUAUCAAGAGGAACACCUGAGGUGAAGACGGGUUGCUGGGCUGACACUGACGCUGAGGCGCGGAAAGCAUGGGGAGCGAACAGG